GAUGAGGUAGCCAACACAUUUAUAUUUAUAUAUAUAUAUAUAUAUAUAUAUAUAUAUAUAUAUAUAUAUUUAUUUUCUUAAAUUAUUUUUUAAUUGGUGUAGCCCCAAAAAUAUUGGGACAUAUAAAAAAGACAACUCUGUUCUGCAGAGGAGCUGUUGACAUUAUAGUUGCGCCAGCACUUUUUGACUCUAGAGAACCUCGGGCCAAUCGCACAUCCCCGUGGUGGCAACUUUGCAUGCAGAUGUCAUCCAUACCAACUUUCGAUGCCAGUUUCUGCGCUUACCAUGGUGACCACGGGUAAUGAGGAAUCAGGGUUCCAUUCCGUACAGGGACCCUGAGAAACGGCUGCCACAUGCAUGGAAAAGACCCACUCCUGACGCGGGAAGGUAGUGACGACAAAUAACAAUACAGGACUCUUUAGAGGCCCUGUAAUUGUAAUGGGCCCACUUGAAAUCCUUUAACUCAGAUCAAUUGGAGUGAAGUCUGGUGCAGAGCCACUGACCCGUGUGUGCUGCAGCUGAAACUCCACUAUC